AUUGAACGCUGGCGGCAGGCCUAACACAUGCAAGUCGAACGAGUGGCGGACGGGUGAGUAAUGUCUGGGAAACUGCCUGAUGGAGGGGGAUAACUACUGGAAACGGUAGCUAAUACCGCAUACCAUACGAUGUGCCCAGAUGGGAUUAGCUUGUUGGUGGGGUAACGGCUCACCAAGGAGACUAUCCCUAGCUGGUCUGAGAGGAUGACCAGCCACACUGGAACUGAGACACGGUCCAGAAUCGUACGGGAGGCAGCAGUGGGGAAGAGUGCACAAUGGGCGCAAGACGGAUGCAGCCAUGCCGCGUGGAUGAAGAAGGCCUUCGGGUGGUAAAGUACGUUCAGCGGGGAGGCGUUACCCGCAGAAGAAGCACCGGCUAACUCCGUGCCAGCAGCCGCGGUAAUUC
rnacentral:rRNA from 1 species